UCUUCAUUUCACGUGCUCUUUCACCGGUCAAAGUGGCGAGAGAGCUCGCAUAAUGAGGAGA
rnacentral:pre_miRNA from 1 species